GUGUCAGCCGCCGCGGUAAUACGGAGGGUGCAAGCGUUGUUCGGAAUUAUUGGGCGUAAAGCGCGUGUAGGUGGUCAGGUAAGUCAGAUGUGAAAGCCUUCUGCUUAACAGAAGAAGUGCAUUUGAAACUGCUUGGCUAGAGUACGGGAGAGGAGAGUGGAAUUCCCGGUGUAGAGGUGAAAUUCGUAGAUAUCGGGAGGAACACCAGUGGCGAAGGCGGCUCUCUGGUCCGAUACUGACACUGAGACGCGAAAGCGUGGGGAGCAAACAGGAUUAGAUACCCUGGUAGUCCACGCCGUAAACGAUGGGCACUAGGUGUAGGAGGUAUUGACCCCUUCUGUGCCGAAGCUAACGCAUUAAGUGCCCCGCCUGGGGAGUACGGCCGCAAGGCUAAAACUUAAAUGAAUUGACGGGG
rnacentral:rRNA from 1 species